AUUUUAACAAUGUGUAUUGGGUUUUAGUAGACAAAAAUAUCCUUAUAUAUCAUGGAUUCUAAGUUUUAAAAUUAAGAAUAUUUUAAUAAUUUUCAUUCUCAAAACUAAAAAAAAAAAACCAAACCCUAACUCACCUCUGUGAUUCCUCUCAACUCUUUUUCUUUCAUCUCUCUCACUCCAACUUUUUUUCUAUCAUCCCUAUCGUAGCCUCAAUUGAAAAAAUCAGAAACACUCACUUAACCCUAAUCCACCUUCCUCACUUAUCCAAUUUGUUUUUCUCUCAUCUCCAUACUCUCUCUCACC
rnacentral:lncRNA from 1 species